AUAUUUGCGCUUGGGGCAAUGAUACAAUUAGCAAGGUUCCAACCGAGGCAUGUCUAUUGCUGGUCGAAAACUAUUUCCAAAUCCCCCUUUUGGUCUGGGGCUUGAUUUGGGUCAUUGAGAAUUUUUGGAAGGGCUAUUUUUUUAGGUUAAAGCC